CCGAUAUUGCGGCGUUGCACUACAAAUCUGUGAGGCGGCACCAGUCUCUUCACACAGCUCCAAGGAGGAACGUCAGGCUAUUUAAAGCUUUCAUCUAGCCAGUGAAGCACCCUUCAAAGCGGCAGCUCUCCCUGUAACAGGACACAGAUUUAUUAUGACACAGAUUGGAUCUCGGCAGGUGUAGGCAGCCGUUUGGUUUUACAGAUCUGCUGAUAUCCAUGCCUCUGCUACUGUGGCUGUGCUAUAGGAAGCACAAAGAGAAUAUUGAAGAUGAACCAAGGUCUUUCAGGAGGCAGUCGCAUCCCCACAAGCUACCCAUCACCUUCAGCUACUCUUGGCAUGCUGAAGAAUUUGGCAGCCGUUUCACCACUUCAGGACAGAAUAAUAACAGUUUGCCUUCAACAUCCGAAAAAUAAUUUCACAUGAACAAGCUUGUGAGAGGAAACAUUUAAAGAGACCAAAGAGAGCUGCCUGGAAAGAUAGAUUGUUGGCUCAUAAUGUUUCUUUUCGCCUUUGUAGCUCAUCAAAAUGCUUUUGGUAUACCACUUUUCAUAAAUGUAGAUUUUCAGAGUGGGCGUGUGACCGAACACGUGCUGUAAUUUUUACCUUCAGGACACACAUUUUUCACUACUCUAUCCAAACCUGUCCAGAUCGUUGCUUGAAUUAAAAUAAAAUGUGUCAAUUCAAGAGGAAGAGAGAUAUGUAAAUGAUGC